rnacentral:rRNA from 1 species
UACAGAGACUGCAAGCGUUAUUCGGAUUCACUGGGCGUAAAGGGUGCGCAGGCGGCCUUGCGCGUCGCGAGUGAAAUCUCCCGGCUCAACUGGGAGGGUGGUCGCGAGACGGCAGGGCUUGAGGCUCGGUGAGGGGCGUGGAAUUCCGGGUGGAGCGGUGAAAUGCGUAGAGAUCCGGAAGAACACCGGUGGCGAAGGCGGCCUGCUGGGCAGUAGCUGACGCUGAGGCGCGACAGCGUGGGGAGCAAACAGG